AAUAGAUACCCGGGUAGUCCAUGCCGUAAACGUUGGGCACUAGGUGUGGGGCUCAUUCCACGAGUUCCGUGCCGCAGCAAACGCAUUAAGUGCCCCGCCUGGGGAGUACGGCCGCAAGGCUAAAACUCAAAGGAAUUGACGGGGGCCCGCACAAGCGGCGGAGCAUGCGGAUUAAUUCGAUGCAACGCGAAGAACCUUACCAAGGCUUGACAUGCACGGGAAGCCACCAGAGAUGGUGGUCUCUUUGGACACUCGUGCACAGGUGGUGCAUGGUUGUCGUCAGCUCGUGUCGUGAGAUGUUGGGUUAAGUCCCGCAACGAGCGCAACCCUCGUCCCAUGUUGCCAGCGGGUUAUGCCGGGGACUCAUGGGAGACUGCCGGGGUCAACUCGGAGGAAGUGGGGAUGACGUCAAAUCAUCAUGCCCCUUAUGUCUUGGGCUUCACGCAUGCUACAAUGGCCGGUACAAAGGGCUGCGAUACCGUAAGGUGGAGCGAAUCCCAAAAAGCCGGUCUCAGUUCGGAUUGGGGU
rnacentral:rRNA from 1 species